rnacentral:tRNA from 1 species
GCCUGGCUGGUUCAGUUCACAGAACAUGUGACUCUUGAUCUCAGGGUUGUAAGUUCGAGCCCUAUGUGGGGUG